rnacentral:rRNA from 1 species
ACGUAGGUGGCGAGCGUUAUCCGGAUUUACUGGGUGUAAAGCGCGUGCAGGCGGUGGCGUAAGGGACGUGUGAAAGCACCCGGCUUAACCGGGGGAGGCCGCGUCCGACUGCGCGACUGGAGGUGGGUAGAGGCGUGUGGAAUUCCCGGUGUAGUGGUGGAAUGCGUAGAGAUCGGGAGGAACACCAGAGGCGCAAGCGGGUGCCUGGGCGACGACUGACACUGAGGGACGAAAGCGUGGGGAGCGAACAG